AAAAAUGUGUGGUGAGAGAAACAGAGAAUUGAAAAGAAAUAUUUUUCCAAAAGCAUUACCGUAUUUCACUUGUUCUUCAUUUUCGGUAACCCAAAAUCGUCCCGAUUAUUCACCGAAACACAAAACCGAUUUCAUAUCUUUGAAGUUCGUUGAGUCCAGGUCACAAAUAUCCAAGUUUCAUUUCAUUCCGGCGUCGUUUCACCGAUCAAAAGAGACGUUGAAGUCAGGUACUCACGAAGGCAGCCAGCACUGCGUCGGUGACGGUUUCCAGCUUUCGGUCGAUCAUUUGGACGAUCAGAAGUUCAUCCUCUUCACACAAGGGGUAUCGUGCAGAUACUCCAGAGUAGUAUCACUGAAGUAAGAGGACGGUAGCUCGCUCGAGAUUAGCUGGAGGGUUUCCGUAUUUUAGUUAGGUAAUGAGUCAAUGCUCUGGUCAUGUAACACUGGGUAGAUUGGUAGUAUCGAACUCAUAUCUCAUUGGAGAUGCAGUAUGUUAUUACUUUAGUUAUGUUAUCUUGAGAUGAUUGUUGAGAGAUGAUCAUGGUAUGAGACACGGAUCAUUUUAUGAAAUACAUGAGUAUUCUUUA